rnacentral:rRNA from 1 species
UACAGAGGAUGCAAGCGUUAUCCGGAAUGAUUGGGCGUAAAGCGUCUGUAGGUGGCUUUUAAGUCCGCCGUCAAAUCCCAGGGCUCAACUCUGGACAGGCGGUGGAAACUACCAAGCUGGAGUACGGUAGGGCAGAGGGAAUUUCCGGUGGAGCGGUGAAAUGCGUAGAGAUCCGGAGGAACACCGACGGCGUAGGCAGCGCCCUGGACGACACCUGACGCUGAGGCACGAAAGCUGGGGGAGCGAACAGG